UCAGCGAGUCAUCGAAUCUUUGAACGCACAUUGCGCCCGCCAGUAUUCUGGCGGGCAUGCCUGUCCGAGCGUCAUUU
rnacentral:rRNA from 1 species